AAGAAUAAGGGAGACAUGAAUAAAUUCUUUUGGAAACCACAAACCUCCUAAUAUGAUACAAGUCCACUGGCUACUAUGACCCACAAGCUAACAGUCAAGUGUGGGUUUCUAUGAUCGGAGAGGUUAGCUAGUUACUCUACUUCACACUUGAUUGGAUACAUGUAUAUAUACACCUCCAAAGUCAAGAUGAGUAAUCAAAAAUAAUGUGAUGUUUCACAGGAAAAAGAGAAAAGAGAGGGAUUUUGAUAUAAAAAUACUUGAUUUUUUUUUUUUGGCAUUUAAAAUAAGUGAACAAUAAAGACGGUCACAGGAUUAGAACUUGGAUUUUUGUUUUAUUUUAUUUUAUUUUAUUUUAUUGUUUCUUUAACCUUGUUCACCUCAUCAACAAUUGUCUUAGAUUUGUAUUGACAUAGUAGUAUUAGUAAGUAUUUGUAUUGUGCGUUAUUGGUUACAGAUAGCUAAUUAGCACUAGCAGGCUAACUUAGAUAUUGUUAGUUGCUAGCUAAAACCAUGAAGUUCUCACACAAGUAACAUUUGACUUGGCAUGAUUUCAUGCUCAAUGUUACACUGUUACACAUUUCUGUAGUUUGUACGGUGACUUACUGUAUAUCACCCAGUAUAAUACUGCAAACAGAAACUUUGGCGCCCAUGCACCAUUUUAUCAUUUAGACCUAAAGUUGUUUAUCUUUUUCUCAUUUUUGACAUCUGGACUGACAAGCUCUGCUUUAUGGUUUAGAUUAGGAACCAACACAGUAGCGCAACAGGUUUUGCGGGGGAGGGGGCUCUGGAGUGGCACACACAGAAAGUAACGGGAUUCAGCCAUAGAAGCAACCUGUACUGAAUACGGAUACAUCUGAUGAAACCAAACGGAGGUGUCCAUGAAGAAUUUUCUCCUUGAGAGUAAAAGAAAGACCAGCAAGCAAGCAAGGUAAGUGCAACAAAGCCAUCCAUCAAGACAGACAUAACCCUGCCAGCCACGUUGAUGCUUGGGAACACAUUUCUCUCUGCAACAGAGUGGAUGAAUACCAGGAGCCUGCCUGUGCAACACUGGAACUCAUACAACAAUUCUUCGUGAGGAUAAAUCCAGAGGAUGGAACCAAAUGCGCCACAAAAACCGAAGUGAGUUAUAAGACAGGAGAAAUGGUGAAGAGGAAGGCAGUCAUCAACAACAGUGUCAUCCUUGCUUUGCUCGAGUGGAAGAACUUGGAUUAGGGGAGCAUUCCACCAGUGAACAAGCUGAGACCACAGACUUUUUGCCAACAAAGGAGCAGAUUGCAGGUUGGUUUAGAUAACCAAAUGUGUAGUGGUGAAUGUAUGUGGUUGGUAUUGAGUUACAAGAUCAGUACAGCCCAGAGACUUUUUCUGUGUGUGUACCUUGAGUCAUUGGCAUUUAACGUUGAUAUUUCAGUCAUUUAUGAAAGUCCAGACAAUAUUGAGUAUGUUAUACCAAAAAACGUACAGUAUUUUUUGAAGUUAUUGUGUUAUUUCUAAAUGUUAAAGUGUUUAAUGAUUCAUUUCCUAUACAUUCAAUACUGUAUGUUAAACAGUGAACAUGGAUGUAAAUGCACUCUAAUUAAAUUUAAGUCAGUCAUUGUUUCAUUUUAAAUCCAGUGCAGUGGAAUGUAGACAAAAGACAAAGAAAAUGUUGCACUGUCCCAGCAUUUGCAGACUGUGUAUUCUUAAGUGUUUGUUUUUCCACCAUAAGGAUUCCACUCUGUAAAAGUUUGAGUCUUUCCUUAUUGGAAAAUAUACAGAUCUAUAUACUGUCCAGAUACUUUGUUCUACACAUUAUUUUCUACAACAUGUUUUUAAUAUACAACCGUGACACUGAAUGCACUUAUAACUGAUAUUAGUUUUAUACAUAUAAGUUCAUGUGCUUUGUGUUAUUUUAAUGUAAUUCUGAAAAUAACAUGAUUGGAAAUGAGAAUGUUUUAAAUGAAAUGUUUUCAC